GGCAGACGGGUGAGUAACAUGUGGGUAUCUGCCCUUUGGCCUGGAAUAACACGAGGAAACUUGCGCUAAUACCGGAUAAGUCUUUACGGAGAAAGCUUUAUGCACCAUUGGAUGAGCCCGCACUUGAUUAGUUUGUUGGUGGGGUAAUGGCCUACCAAGACUGUGAUCAAUAGCUGAUUUGAGAGGAUGAUCAGCCACAUUGGGACUGAGACACGGCCCAAACUCCUACGGGAGGCAGCAGUGGGGAAUCUUGCACAAUGGAGGAAACUCUGAUGCAGCGAUGCCGCGUGAGUGAAGAAGGCCCUUGGGUUGUAAAGCUCUUUCGUCGGGGAAGAAAAUGACUGUACCCGAAUAAGAAGGUCCGGCUAACUUCGUGCCAGCAGCCGCGGUAAUACGAAGGGACCUAGCGUAGUUCGGAAUUACUGGGCUUAAAGAGUUCGUAGGUGGUUGAAAAAGUUGGUGGUGAAAUCCCAGAGCUUAACUCUGGAACUGCCAUCAAAACUUUUCAGCUAGAGUAUGAUAGAGGAAAGCAGAAUUUCUAGUGUAGAGGUGAAAUUCGUAGAUAUUAGAAAGAAUACCAAUUGCGAAGGCAGCUUUCUGGAUCAUUACUGACGCUGAGGAACGAAAGCAUGGGUAGCGAAGAGGAUUAGAUACCCUCGUAGUCCAUGCCGU
rnacentral:rRNA from 1 species